CAGUCUUGUCCGGCUGAAGAGCCACUGGAGCCCUGGCUUAGGCCUGGGCUGUGAGAGUCUCUUCCCCACGGAGCUCUCAGCCUUCGUAGAGGAAAUUUGGGUGGGGGUUCGAACAUUUUAACCAGGAAUGAAAUGCCACAAUUGCUUGCCUGAGAAAGGAAAACAGAACGCAAGAUGACACCCCCCCCAAACAAACCAACCCCUGCUGACACCCUUUCCCGGCCCUGGGGGUGAAGAGGGGACAAUCGGCGUGAGUUGGUGAAGUGCCCGUCACCUGCUCCGAGGUUCUAGGCCGGGGUGGCUCCUGCUGGAGGAAGCAGGCUGGAGGAGGUUCUGAUGGAUGCUGAAGACUUGCUUCAUGACUCCAUCUCCCAGGUCACGAAGAGCCUUUGCCCUUCCCAAAGCCGUCGGAUCAAGUGUUCCCGUUGAUCCCGUUUGAAUCGCCCCCACCGGUACCCAGCGCAACCACAUUACCUCUCCCCGCUACGGCAGCGUCUUCCCAGCAGCAGCUGGUGCUACUGGACCGCUGCCCAAGAGCCCAGUAAAAGAAGAGCACACUUCCAGUCCCCCCAGACGCUUAAGCGGUACCACUCACUCCCCUCCCCAGCACAUGCCUGUGGCCGCCUCUGAGAGCCAGAUUGCUCCAGCCCCUAGAGCUGCUGGCGGGGCUUAAAAAAAAAAAAAAAAAAAAGUGACCUCUUGACAGGCUCUUGUGGGCACAGAAAACCAAUCUUUGCCCGUGAGCAGCAAGAAGGUGCUUACGGAACUGAGAGAUGAUGCCUGAUUCUCUCCUCGGGGAGCAGGUGACAAUAGAGAGGUGUUGGCGCCCUUAUUAAAAAAUGGCCUUCCGGGGCGAGUCUUGCGGGGACUCCCGCACACCUCAAGUGAAGCCCGCUUGCAGGCCCGCGGCUCUGGUGCACACAGGCGAGGUCUUGGGA